rnacentral:rRNA from 1 species
CAGUCGCCACGGUAAUACGAGGGGGGCAAGCGUUGUUCGGGAAUAUUGGGCGUAAAGGGCGCGUAGGCGGUUUGGCAAGUUUCGUGUGAAAUCUUCGGGCUCAACUCGAAGUCUGCACGGAAAACUGCCGGGCUUGAGUAUGGGAGAGGUGAGUGGAAUUUCCGGUGUAGCGGUGAAAUGCGUAGAUAUCGGAAGGAACACCUGUGGCGAAAGCGGCUCACUGGACCAUAACUGACGCUGAGGCGCGAAAGCUAGGGGAGCAAACAGGAUUAGAUACCCGAGUAGUCCCUGUCUCUUAUAA